rnacentral:tRNA from 1 species
GGGCGAUUAGCUCAGAUGGCGAGAGCGUCUCAUUUGCAAUGAGAAGGUCGUGAGUUCGAGGCUCACAUCGGUCC